ACCUAGUCCAGUGGUGGCCAAACUCGGCCCUCCAGCUGUUUUGGGACUACAUUUCCCAUCAUCCCUGACGACUGGUCCUGUUAGCUAGGGAUGAUGGGAGUUGUAGUCCCAAAACAGGUGGAGGGCUGAGUUUGGCCACCACUGACCUAGUCC